rnacentral:rRNA from 1 species
CAGCCGCCGCGGUAAAACGAGGGGGGCAAGCGUUGUUCGGAAUUAUUGGGCGUAAAGGGCGCGUAGGCGGUUUGGCAAGUUUGGUGUGAAAUCUUCGGGCUCAACUCGAAGUCUGCAUCGAAAACUGCCGGGCUUGAGUAUGGGAGAGGUGAGUGGAAUUUCCGGUGUAGCGGUGAAAUGCGUAGAUAUCGGAAGGAACACCUGUGGCGAAAGCGGCUUACUGGACCAUUACUGACGCUGAGGCGCGAAAGCUAGGGGAGCAAACAGGAUUAGAUACCCCCGUAGUCCCUGUCUCUUAUAC